UACGAAGGGGGCUAGCGUUGCUCGGAAUCACUGGGCGUAAAGGGUGCGUAGGCGGGUCUUUAAGUCAGGGGUGAAAUCCUGGAGCUCAACUCCAGAACUGCCUUUGAUACUGGUGAGCUUGAGUCCGGAAGAGGUGAGUGGAACUGCGAGUGUAGAGGUGAAAUUCGUAGAUAUUCGCAAGAACACCAGUGGCGGAGGCGGCUCACUGGCCCGAUACUGACGCUGAGGCACGAAAGCGUGGGGAGCAAACAGG
rnacentral:rRNA from 1 species